UAGUCAUAUGCUUGUCUCAAAGAUUAAGCCAUGCAUGUCUAAGUAUAAGCAAAUUAUAAAGUGAAACUGCGAAUGGCUCAUUAAAUCAGUUAUCGUUUAUUUGAUGAUCUAUUACUACAUGGAUAACUGUGGUAAUUCUAGAGCUAAUACAUGCGCGAAAGUCCCGACCUCUGGAAGGGAUGUAUUUAUUAGAUAAAAAACCAGUGCCCUCGGGCUCUUUGGUGAGUCAUAAUAACUCUACGAAUCGCAUAGCCUUGCGCUGGCGAUAGAUCAUUCAAAUUUCUGCCCUAUCAACUUUCGAUGGUAGGAUAUGGGCCUACCAUGGUUUCAACGGGUAACGGGGAAUUAGGGUUCUAUUCCGGAGAGGGAGCCUGAGAAACGGCUACCACAUCCAAGGAAGGCAGCAGGCGCGCAAAUUACCCAAUCCCGACACGGGGAGGUAGUGACAAUAAAUACUGAUACAGGGGGCUUUUGCCUCUUGUAAUUGGAAUGAGUACAACUUAAACCUCUUAACGAGGAACAAUUG
rnacentral:rRNA from 1 species